rnacentral:rRNA from 1 species
UACGUAGGGGGCAAGCGUUGUCCGGAUUUAUUGGGCGUAAAGAGCGUGUAGGCGGUCAGGUAGGUCCGUUGUGAAAACUCGAGGCUCAACCUCGAGACGCCGAUGGAAACCAUCUGACUAGCGUCCGGAAGAGGAGAGUGGAAUUCCUGGUGUAGCGGUGAAAUGCGCAGAUAUCAGGAAGAACACCCGUGGCUAAGGCGGCUCUCUAGUACGGUACUGACGCUGAGACGCGAAAGCGUGGGGAGCGAACAGG